rnacentral:rRNA from 1 species
GACGAACGCUGGCGGCGUGCCUAAUACAUGCAAGUCGAGCGAAUCAAUGGGAGCUUGCUCCCUGAGAUUAGCGGCGGACGGGUGAGUAACACGUGGGUAACCUGCCUGUAAGACUGGGAUAACUUCGGGAAACCGGAGCUAAUACCGGAUAAUUUCUUUUCUCGCAUGAGGAGAGAUGGAAAGAUGGUUCUGCUAUCACUUACAGAUGGACCCGCGGCGCAUUAGCUAGUUGGUGAGGUAACGGCUCACCAAGGCGACGAUGCGUAGCCGACCUGAGAGGGUGAUCGGCCACACUGGGACUGAGACACGGCCCAGACUCCUACGGGAGGCAGCAGUAGGGAAUCUUCCGCAAUGGACGAAAGUCUGACGGAGCAACGCCGCGUGAGCGAAGAAGGCCUUCGGGUCGGAAAGCUCUGUUGUUAGGGAAGAACAAGUACGAGAGUAACUGCUCGUACCUUGACGGUACCUAACCAGAAAGCCACGGCUAACUACGUGCCAGCCGCCGCAGUAAGAC